rnacentral:rRNA from 1 species
UGGGGAAUAUUGCACAAUGGGCGCAAGCCUGAUGCAGCCAUGCCGCGUGUAUGAAGAAGGCCUUCGGGUUGUAAAGUACUUUCAGCGGGGAGGAAGGGAGUAAAGUUAAUACCUUUGCUCAUUGACGUUACCCGCAGAAGAAGCACCGGCUAACUCCGUGCCAGCAGCCGCGGUAAUACGGAGGGUGCAAGCGUUAAUCGGAAUUACUGGGCGUAAAGCGCACGCAGGCGGUUUGUUAAGUCAGAUGUGAAAUCCCCGGGCUCAACCUGGGAACUGCAUCUGAUACUGGCAAGCUUGAGUCUCGCAGAGGGGGGUAGAAUUCCAGGUGUAGCGGUGAAAUGCGUAGAGAUCUGGAGGAAUACCGGUGGCGAAGGCGGCCCCCUGGACGAAGACUGACGCUCAGGUGCGAAAGCGUGGGGAGCAAACA